rnacentral:rRNA from 1 species
CGGCCGCGUCGACAACGCUGGCGGCGUGCCGUAAUACAUGCAAGUUGAGCGAUGAAGAUUGGUGCUUGCACCAAUUUGAAGAGCAGCGAACGGGUGAGUAACGCGUGGGGAAUCUGCCUUUGAGCGGGGAACAACAUUUGGAAACGAAUGCUAAUACCGCAUAAUAACUUUAAACAUAAGUUUUAAGUUUGAAAGAUGCAAUUGCAUCACUCAAAGAUGAUCCCGCGUUGUAUUAGCUAGUUGGUGAGGUAAAGGCUCACCAAGGCGAUGAUACAUAGCCGACCUGAGAGGGUGAUCGGCCACAUUGGGACUGAGACACGGCCCAAACUCCUACGGGAGGCAGCAGUAGGGAAUCUUCGGCAAUGGACGAAAGUCUGACCGAGCAACGCGCGUGAGUGAAGAAGGUUUUCGGAUCGUAAAACUCUGUUGGUAGAGAAGAACGUUGGUGAGAGUGGAAAGCUCAUCAAGUGACGGUAACUACCCGAGAAAGGGACGGACUAACUACGUGCCAGCACGCGUCGGUAAUACGUAGGUACCCGG